UUCCGGUUGAUCCUGCCGGACCCUAUUGCUAUCGGGGUAAGACUAAGCCAUGCAAGUUGUGCGCUUCUUAGCCAUGUUGGAAGAGCAGCGUACGGCUCAGUAACACGUAGUUAAUCUGCCCUUAGGACGAACAUAACCCUGGGAAACUAGGGCUAAUAUUCGAUAGAUGGAAACGCCUGGAAUGGUCUUUCGUCGAAAGGUUCUCGGAAACAUGCUUCUGAGAAUGCCUAAGGAUGAGACUGCGGCCGAUCAGGUAGUUGGUGGGGUAACGGCCCACCAAGCCGAUAACCGGUACGGGCCCUGAGAGGGGGAGCCCGGAGAUGGGAACUGAGAUAAGGUCCCAGGCCCUACGGGGCGCAGCAGGCGCGAAACCUCCACAAUGCGCGAAAGCGUGAUGGGGUUACCCCGAGUGCCUUCCGUUGAGGAGGGCUUUUCUUCAGUGUAAGGAGCUGGAGGAAUAAAGGGGGGGCAAGACUGGUGUCAGCCGCCGCGGUAAUACCAGCCCCCUGAGUGAUAGGGACGAUUAUUUAGCCUAAAGCGUCCGUAGCCGGCUUAACAAGUCUUUCGUUAAAUCUGACGUCUCAAGCGUCAGGCUGCGGGAGAUACUAUUAGGCUAGAGGGCGGGAGAGGUUGACGGUAGUCCUGGGGUAGGGGUGAAAUCUAAUAAUCCUAGGAGGACCACCAAUGGCGAAGGCGGUCAACUAGAACGCGCCUGACGGUCAGGGACGAAAGCUGGGGGAGCGAACCGGAUUAGACACCCGGGUAGUCCCAGCUGUAAACGAUGCGAGCUAGGUGUUGGGGCAGCUACGUGCUGUCUCAGUGCCGCAGAGAAGUCGUUAAGCUCCGCCCGCUUGGGUAGUACGGCUGCAAGGCUGAAACUUAAAGGAAUUGGCGGGGAGCCACUCACAGGGUGAGCCUGCGUUUAUUGGAAUCACGCCGGAAUC
rnacentral:rRNA from 1 species